rnacentral:rRNA from 1 species
AAAGAUCAAAUUAUACAUAUUAAGGUAAAAAGGCAGUUAGAUACUAUGUAAUUAGUUCAUUUAUUAUUUAUAUGAAAGUAAAAUUUAAAUAUAUAUUAAUAAUCUUAAAUGUACUAAUCAAAUUGACUCUGCGAUAGCCUUGAGGGAAACUGGGAUUAGAUACCCCAUUAUUCUUGGUUUUAAAUUAACUAAGAUUUACCAGAGUACUACGAAUUAAUAAAAUUUAAAACUCUAAGGGCUUGGCGGUGUUUUAGACCUUUCAGGGGAACUUGUCUCAUAAUCGACAAUCCACGUUAUACCUAACCUUUUUUAGUACUCAGUUUGUAUAUCGUCGUCGUCAGGUAACUUUUUAGAAUUUAGAAGUUAGCAGCUGAAAUUUAAAUUAAAUUCAAACGUCAGAUCAAGAUGCAGCUAAUAAAAAGGUGAUGAUGAGUUACAAUUAACAGAUUUGUAAAUAUGAAUAAAUUAAUGAAAAAUUAGUUUUGAAGGUGGACUUGAAAGUAAAAUAAAAUAUAUAAAUAUCUUGAAUAAGGCUCUGAAACAUGU